rnacentral:rRNA from 1 species
UGAGGAAUCUUCCACAAUGGGCGAAAGCCUGAUGGAGCGACACCGCGUGAAGGAUGAAGCCUUUGUUGGUGUAAACUUCUUUUCUCUGGGAAGAUAAUGACGGUACCAGAGGAAUAAGGGGCGGCAAACUUCGUGCCAGCAGCCGCGGUAAUACGAAGGCCCCAAGCGUUAUCCGGAAUUACUGGGCGUAAAGCGUCUGUAGGUGGUUUCAAAGGUUUCGUGUGAAACUUCGGGGCUCAACCCCGAAUUGCACGGAAAACCAUGAAACUUGAGUGUGGGAGAGGCUAGCAGAAUGGUAAGAGUAGGGGUGCAAUCCGUUGAUACUUACCAGAAUACCAAAAGCGAAGGCAGCUAGCUGGAACAUUACUGACACUGAGAGACGAAAGCGUGGGGAGCGAAA